GCUGGGUGUGGUGGCGCACGCCUGUAAUCCUAGCUACUCGGGAGGCUGAGGCAGGGGAAUUGCUUGAACCCAGGAGGUAGAGAUUGCAGUGAGUAGAGAUUGCACUGCUGCACUCCAGCCUGGGUGACAGAGCAAGACUCUGUCACCG
rfam:Pan troglodytes isolate Yerkes chimp pedigree #C0471 (Clint) chromosome 19, whole genome shotgun sequence.